rnacentral:rRNA from 1 species
AGUGAACGCUGGCGGUAGGCCUAACACAUGCAAGUCGAACGGCAGCACAGUAAGAGCUUGCUCUUACGGGUGGCGAGUGGCGGACGGGUGAGGAAUACAUCGGAAUCUACUUUUUCGUGGGGGAUAACGUAGGGAAACUUACGCUAAUACCGCAUACGACCUACGGGUGAAAGCAGGGGAUCUUCGGACCUUGCGCGAUUGAAUGAGCCGAUGUCGGAUUAGCUAGUUGGCGGGGUAAAGGCCCACCAAGGCGACGAUCCGUAGCUGGUCUGAGAGGAUGAUCAGCCACACUGGAACUGGAACACGAUCCAGACUCCUACGGGAGGCAGCAGUGGGGAAUAUUGGACAAUGGACGCAAGCCUGAUCCAGCCAUACCGCGUGGGUGAAGAAGGCCUUCGGGUUGUAAAGCCCUUUUGUUGGGAAAGAAAAGCAGCAGGUUAAUACCCCGCUGUUCUGACGGUACCCAAAGAAUAAGCACCGGCUAACUUCGUG